CACGCUCCGCUCAGGGCGGCGGCCGCCGGCGGAGGCCCGAGCCGGGGGACGCCGCCACCGCCGGGCCCCUCGGCGCCCCCCGCCAGCCGCGGACCCACCCCCGGUACCUUUAAUCAUGCACACUGUCGUCUCAGAAUUCUGUGGAACUGGAGCUGAUCCUGUGCUUAUGACUAGUGGUUCUUCCAUUAAGCUGGCUCUGUCAUCAUCUGGUCUCCAGCCCAUCAUUUUUGGGAAAAACCUGUCCUCAACUCUUCCCCUUUUGACAUGCACAUUUGUGUCCUUGAUCUUUCUUUCAUCUUGUUCUGAAGAACACCCUCUGUUGGAAGAUUCACCACUCUCCUAUGUUUUCCAGUUCAGCUGUCUCGCCAAUUUUUUUUUUUCCUGGAGACUUUAUUUUUAGCACCCCUGAUUUUACUGAUCUGUCUUACAGUAUUGCCCCACAGAUGGCUGCAUUUGCACAAAAAGCAUUGCAGAAGAUUGAUGUGGCAGCAGGAACAAGUGGCAUAGGGAAGGAAGAGAACUGUCCAGAUCAGUUUUGCCUCUGGAAAAAAUGUUGUAUGGAAAUGCAUUCUGACUUGCAACUGGAGAAGAGAGGAUAAAAGCCUUCGAUGAAUUAAAAUAUCUGCAAUACACAUGGAUAGCAAAACAGAAAUCAGGCAUGUAAAAAGAGAAAAUAUUUAUAAAUACCACUAUACAAUUGAUAAAUGUUAUGUAUAAUUGCAGCUAAGAGAGAAAAUGCAGAGAACAGGAAUAAGUGUUGAAUACCAUCAGAUUUCUGUUUGCCCAUUGUGAAAGAUUAUUUGCCAUGCACUGAUUGUCAUAAAUGGUACUGAGUGCAGUAGAUUAAAAAAAAAAAGACAAUAAUACCUGUGUACCAUGAUGACAAGGCUAGGAUAAUGCAUUAGUGCCAAAUAGAGCUAUCUAAUAUAGAUGCAAUCUCACUGAUCCAAGUUACAAAGUGGCAAGAUACCAGUAAAUAAUGUGCAAGCUGAGAACUUUCCAAAUUUUUUGGCAUGUCAUAAAACAUUAAAGAUGAAGGCUUCCAUAGCCAUUUCAAACAUCUCAGAUAUCUUAGAAUUAUAUCAUCUGAUCUAAUCAGUUUCUGUGGUAGUCAAUAAAGAAAAAGUAGAAAACUGGUAAUAUAUAGAACUGCAGUCCCUAGAACAUGCCUGCUGCAAGAAAGAAAAUCUGUUUAAAUAAAUAAAAUUUAUUAAGUUAUUUCCAGCCACUAUGACAGUGAAUAAAAAUAGGUUGAGAAAUCUGAGUGCCUGAACCCAAAAAGUGUUCCUAAACCCAUAUAAGAUGUCACUCAACUUACAAGGCUCCAGAAGUCUGCAAAAGACUUCUAUAUAAGUUUAAAUUUUCUCAAAUACCUAAAAUUCUACUCCUAGAUGUAGUAUUAAAGCUCUGGAGGUAAGGAGUUGCAGGAUGCAAAAGUGAUAACUGUGUAUUUUCUUGGAGUUAGCCAUUUAUAAAGGCCAGUUGUCUGUUACUGUCAGUAUCCUCAAGGAACUUCAAUUUGUUAGAAAAAUAAAUGAAAUUCAAGUAAGAGUUAUACUGCAAGAAGCAGCAGACUAAUUUCUGUUGCACAACAUUGUUUCCAUUCUCGUCUCCUGAGCUUUCCUCCUCUUUUAGUCAGAACAGCCUGAAAUUUCUGUUUUUCUGGGUUCAGAAUUUAUGUGCUUAUUCUCUGCCCAAAGGUGAAAUUGUUACUGGAAGCCUUGAGCAAGAAUGUUUUUGCUAGUUUAAGUGUGAGAACAGUGGGAUGGGGGGGAAAUGUUGCAUAAAGGUAAAAGUGCUUUAGGGUUUUUUAAAUAACUUUUUCGUCAUGAAGAGAUGUGAAGAGAUGAAAGUAGUGGUGGAAAUAACCCUGCUCAGGGAAGACCUAUACUUUUUCUAAAAUUGGUCUCAAAUGGGUCCUUCAAGCAGCAUAUAUAUCUUUGUCAGAGCCAGGGAGCAUUUUCACUUGACCUUCCCAGAUAGGAAGGGCAAGUAUCUGCUCAGAUUUAGCUGUCCUUUGUGUCACAAACAGCUCCUCCAUAUUUUCAUGGUGACACACUGACUGUACCCCAAAGUCCUGCCCCGUUACUGCCUAAUUAUUCAUGGGGUGGCUCAUCUGCAGUGUAUCUACAGGUUCUCUCACAAAUAAACUGGGACUGGGGAGGCUGGUGAGAGAGGGGCUCGAUGCCCACGGGGGCUCUACUUCAGUGCACACUGUGGCCACGCUCUGCUGUUGGUGGUAUGGGAUCUCCAAAUGUGUUGCAGCAGGAUUUUGUGGCCUUCUCUCUCUCUGCAUGUCCUCAUGUCACAGUUAAGUACCACAGGCUUUUAAAAAUGUAAACCAUCUUUGUGACAAUGAGGGGCCUCGGUCAACUGUCUGUGGGAUGUGCAGAAGCAGAGUGCUUCUCCUCAAGAGCACCUUCUAGUGUCUGCUGACCUACCUCAAGUCCAUGGCCAGGAGGUCAGUGGACCUGAAGACAGCAUGUGUUUGCAGCCAGGGCACCAGCUGCUAGCCUGGACAGCAGAAGGAAGGGAUUCUGGGCAGGCAUGACAAGACACAACCAACCCAUUGUCACAUGCUGUCACAUGUGGUCAUGCCAGAUGUUACAUGUCCGGCAUAAGCACACAUUGGACAAAGACAGUGAGCAAGGUGUCCUUCUCAGCUGGAUAGGGAGUGCUCACAGAAGCAGAGCUCUGUCCAGGAGCAUUGCUGUGUGCAGUUAGAUUGGUGGAUGAAAAGAACAGAGGAGGUGAAGAGUGGUUACCUUUAGCCUCUGCUUAUGGAACACAUUUUCUCAUACAAUAGCUGUGAGAGCCAACAGUGAGCAGCAAUAGGACACGGGACCUCUGUGCAGAGAGCUUUUCAGUGUGUCAUCCCUGCUGGCCCCACCAGGGCAGGUGAGCCAUAGAGUCACUUGCUUUAGGUGGGGAGCUGCAAACACAGCUCUGCCAGAUUGUCUGGCAGUUCCCACUUAUGGUAACACAUUCUGCAGCCCCAGCCACUGCCAAGGGCAGAGGACAUGAGAGGAGGACUCUGAUGCAUCCUGGUUCUCCUCAGCAUUGGCAGGUGAAUCCUACAAGUACAACAGCUACAGCUACACUGCUCUCCUCUAUGCACUCGGAUGGUCAUUUCGUCAUGAGCAUCGUCACCAUGCCUUCCUGCCAACAUCACUGGCAAGUUUGCUGUUUGCUGUGACUGCUCUCAGCAUGACCCUCAUAAAGCAGCAAUUCUGGCCUUUACCUCUUGCCCAGAAGUCUCCUCUGUUGUCUCUGUUUCCUCAGGCUAGCCAGAACCAGGCCUUCCAGAAGUGUGAAACUCUUGCUUUCUUGCAUGAAGCUGACUCCAGACACAAGUUAAUAACAACAAUUUCCUGUGGUCAGGAGCACCCAAUUCCAAUGCUCUCUCCAACAGUUUUCAAGACUUCAAGCCUCUUUUGCAUCACACAGAGAGGACAGUGACUGCAGUGCUGUGAGUUUACCCAGGAAUGGUACAUAAUUAAAUCUUUGACAGAGAGAUCUAAAUAUUGUUUUUGGUUCAUGGGGCAGCAUACCAGGACAUGCCUAGAUUGACCAUGAUGCAAUGUGACUGGGAGAGAACUGCUGGUCUCAAAUGUCCUUUCCUCAUGCACGAGAAGUACCUGAAGCAUCCAAAGAAGGGUCACACCAUGUGCCCAAGAGUGUUGUCCGAACACUUCUUGAACGUGUCAGGCUGAUGCUGUGACCACUUCCCUGGGGAGCCUGCUCCAGUGCCUAACCACCCUCUGGGUGAAGAAACUUUUUAUAUUAUCCAACCUAAACCUCCCCUGACACAGCUUCAGGCCAUUCCCUUGAGUCUUGUCGCCGGGACAACAGAGAAAAGAUCAGUGUCUGCCCCUCCUCUUCCCCUCACAAGGAAGUUGAAUCUGCAAUGAGGUCUCCCCUCAGUGUCCUCUUCUCCAGCCUGAACAGAACAAGUGACCUCAGCUGCUCCUUACAUGGCUUCCCCUCAAGGUCUUCCAUGGGGGUCUUUAUGUGCAUUUGCAUUGAUGUCAAAGUGAGGGAAAUGCUGAGAUGUGUUUUCUUCUCCCUGCUGUCCAACAAGGUCCCCAGGAGCUGGUACUCCAUCUGGCUUCACCUCUGCUGUGCUGCAAGUGGAGUGCUACAGCUUUUGGAUGGUGUGCCAGCUGUGCCUCUCCUCAAAAAGUAAACAGAAUUUAUUUAAAAUAUAUAUAACAUAUGUUUAAGGCCAUACUUGUUAAUUUCUGGAACCAGAACUAGCCUUUUUAUUUUUAUUCUAGAAUUUGCUUACUGCCCCAAAGUAAUCAAGUCAGGAAUCAGAGGAUUUGGCUUCUCUGAGGACUGCAUCUGCCUCGAGUUCUACAGAAGGUGCUUGUGUGUUGGUGUUGCUUCCUUUUUUCCCUUUUUUUUUCCCCUUGGCUUGUCUUCACAGGUUUUUUUUCCUUUGAUUCCUUUCUAUUUUUGCAUUAGAUCAACUAAACACAUGACACCUUAUACUACACUCUCUGUGCCCCCUGCUCUCAAUUGUGGCCAAGAUAUACAGACAGAGAUUUCCUCUCACCCAAGGGUAAUGAGUCACAAAGUCUGGAUGAUUAGAAGGAAGGGUUAGGGUUUCACCUGCCUUUUGGGAGAUCACUUUCUCCUUCAGAUACCAUUCCUAAUCCUACACUUACUGCAGAUGCACUCUACUACAAAACCUGCAGAAGUGAGUCCUCCCUGGAGACUGCAGUGCUAUUCAUCACUUUAUGGAAGGUGUUUCUGCCCCACAUUUAUCCCUAAAGGGUUAGAAUUGACAUUUGGCACUGAAACUUGUUUAAUUUUUUUGUUGUUUUUGUUUUUGUUUGGUUUCAAGUUUUGAUGAAGUUUAACCACUGAGAUAGUCCAGUUUUCUGCUUGAAGCAACAGAAGGGCAGCCAUGAUGCUCAGUGGGCAGUCUCUCUGAUGUUGCUGGGAGGUUUAUCUAUAAUGCAGGGGGUGUCGAUACAUUUGGGCCAGUUCUGCUUGGGUUCAGCUGUCUGUGCAAGCAUGGAGCUUGGUGAAGAACAACAGCUCACCAUCACUUCCAUGUGAAGUGCUCUGUGUUGUUGCAGCAUUAGUGCUGACACUGAACUAGUCAAGAUCUUGUGAUCCUACUCUUUCCACUGCUGCUUGAUUUUUUUUUCCCCCUUCACUUCCCUAGGGAAUACUGAGGUUAUGAGAUUUUGUGCAAAAUUGUUCCCUCCAACAGUAACAGGCAACACAGAUCUCUUUGCUUAUGUGGAAUUCUUUCUGCAAUGCCCAGGCUGUGUUUUAGGCUUUAGGUCAUCCCAGUUCACCACUUACUUAUCUGUCAGGUCUGGGCCAUGAAAUAUAGGGGCAGAAGUUAUUGGUGACUGGAAUUCAUUAUUAGACCCAGGUACUUAGCUGAUAUAUCCAAAAGGUUGGAUAAGUUUAUGAUCAAUAAGAAAUCCAUAUAAGUACAGAGCUGAAGAAGGCAACAGGCAAAUGAUGCACUCUACUAAGCUCUGACCAGGGAAGACCGUGCACCUCCACACAUGCAUUCAGUCUUCAUAGGAGAGUGGUUCCUCUGAAGCCUCUGGUAUUGCCUGCCACUUGACACAGGGCUCAGUGGGGUAAUCACUUCAGUCAUGAUGAGAGAUACUCCAGUGACAUCAGUGGAAAUCCUUUUCAGGGUGCUGAAUUACAGCUUGACAGCAGCAAUCUCAUGACACUCCUUCUGAUUCCACACCUGCAUUGUGACAGCUGUAUUGCUUGGUUACAUGAAAACGGUAUCACUGCCUAAGGGGAAGACAAAAUGACAAUAAAUUUAUUUUGAUGAGAUCUUU